rnacentral:rRNA from 1 species
CCUACGGGGGGCAGCAGCAGGGAAUUUUGCACAAUGAGCGAAAGCUUGAUGCAGCGACGCCGCGUGCGGGAUGAAGGCCUUCGGGUUGUAAACCGCUUUCAGGAGGGACGAAGCGAAAGUGACGGUACCUCCAGAAGAAGCCCCGGCCAACUACGUGCCAGCAGCCGCGGUAAUACGUAGGGGGCGAACGUUGUCCGGAUUUAUUGGGCGUAAAGAGCUCGUAGGCGGCUCAGCAAGUCGGCCGUGAAAACCCGGGGCUCAACCCCGGGACGCCGGUCGAAACUGCUGUGGCUAGGGUCCGGUAGAGGAGAGUGGAAUUCCCGGUGUAGCGGUGAAAUGCGCAGAUAUCGGGAGGAACACCAGUAGCGAAGGCGGCUCUCUGGGCCGGUACCGACGCUGAGGAGCGAAAGCUAGGGGAGCAAACAGGAUUAGAUACCCUG